rnacentral:rRNA from 1 species
UCGGGAAUUUUGGGCAAUGGGCGAGAGCCUGAUCCAGCCAUGCCGCGUGCAGGAAGAAGGCGUUAUGCGUUGUAAACUGCUUUUGCCAGGGGAUAAAAUGACCGUGCGCGGUUAAUUGAAGGUACCUGGUGAAUAAGCCACGGCUAACUACGUGCCAGCAGCCGCGGUAAUACGUAUGGAGCGAGCGUUGUCCGGAAUUAUUGGGCGUAAAGCGUGCGCAGGCGGUUCUAUAAGACAGAUGUGAAAUCCCCGGGCUCAACCUGGGAAUGGCAUUUGUGACUGUAGAGCUAGAGUACGGUAGAGGGGGAUGGAAUUCCGCGUGUAGCAGUGAAAUGCGUAGAUAUGCGGAGGAACACCGAUGGCGAAGGCAAUCCCCUGGACCUGUACUGACGCUCAUGCACGAAAGCGUGGGGAGCAAACAGGAUUAGAUACCCAAGUAGUCCCUGAGCGGGCUGGCAAGGCGCAU